rnacentral:rRNA from 1 species
CCAGACUCCUACGGGAGGCAGCAGUGGGGAAUAUUGCACAAUGGGGGGAACCCUGAUGCAGCGACGCCGCGUGAGUGAAGAAGUAUUUCGGUAUGUAAAGCUCUGUCAGCAGGGAAGAAGAAAGACGGUACCUGACCAAGAAGCCCCGGCUAACUACGUGCCAGCAGCCGCGGUAAUACGUAGGGGGCAAGCGUUAUCCGGAUUUACUGGGUGUAAAGGGAGCGUAGACGGCAGCGCAAGUCUGGAGUGAAAUCCUAUGGCUUAACCAUGGAACUGCUUUGGAAACUGUGCAGCUGGAGUGCAGGAGAGGUAAGCGGAAUUCCUAGUGUAGCGGUGAAAUGCGUAGAUAUUAGGAGGAACACCAGUGGCGAAGGCGGCUUACUGGACUGUAACUGACGUUGAGGCUCGAAAGCGUGGGGAGCAAACAGGAUUAGAUACCCCCGUAAA